rnacentral:rRNA from 1 species
GACGAACGCUGGCGGCGUGCUUAACACAUGCAAGUCGAACGGUGAAAGCGGAGCUUGCUCCGCUGGAUCAGUGGCGAACGGGUGAGUAACACGUGGGCAACCUGCCCCUCACUUCGGGAUAACUCCGGGAAACCGGGGCUAAUACCGGAUAUGACCUCCUUGGGCAUCCUUGGAGGUGGAAAGUUUUUCGGUGAGGGAUGGGCCCGCGGCCUAUCAGCUUGUUGGUGAGGUAGUGGCUCACCAAGGCGACGACGGGUAGCCGGCCUGAGAGGGCGACCGGCCACACUGGGACUGAGACACGGCCCAGACUCCUACGGGAGGCAGCAGUGGGGAAUAUUGCACAAUGGGCGCAAGCCUGAUGCAGCGACGCCGCGUGAGGGAUGACGGCCUUCGGGUUGUAAACCUCUUUCAGUAGGGACGAAGCGCAAGUGACGGUACCUACAGAAGAAGGACCGGCCAACUACGUGCCAGCCGCCGCCGUAA